UGGGGAAUUUUCCGCAAUGGGCGAAAGCCUGACGGAGCAAUACCGCGUGAGGGAGGAAGGCUCUUGGGUCGUAAACCUCUUUUUUCAGGGAAGAACUCAAUGACGGUACCUGAAGAAUCAGCAUCGGCUAACUCCGUGCCAGCAGCCGCGGUAAUACGGAGGAUGCAAGCGUUAUCCGGAAUUAUUGGGCGUAAAGCGUCCGCAGGUGGCUUGUCAAGUCUGCUGUCAAAGACUGGGGCUUAACCCCGGAAAGGCAGUGGAAACUGAGAGGCUAGAGUGCAGGAGGGGUAGAGGGAAUUCCCGGUGUAGCGGUGAAAUGCGUAGAUAUCGGGAAGAACAUCGGUGGCGAAGGCGCUCUACUGGACUGCAACUGACACUCAGGGACGAAAGCUAGGGGAGCGAAUGGGAUUAGAUACCCCCGUAGUCC
rnacentral:rRNA from 1 species